rnacentral:rRNA from 1 species
UACGUAGGGUGCGAGCGUUAAUCGGAAUUACUGGGCGUAAAGCGUGCGCAGGCGGCUUUGUAAGUCAGAUGUGAAAUCCCCGGGCUUAACCUGGGAAUGGCAUUUGGGACUGCAAGGCUGGAGUGUGGCAGAGGAGACUGGAAUUCCUGGUGUAGCAGUGAAAUGCGUAGAUAUCAGGAGGAAUACCGAUGGCGAAGGCAGGUCUCUGGGCUGACACUGACGCUCAUGCACGAAAGCGUGGGGAGCAAACAGG